CCAGACUCCUACGGGAGGCAGCAGUGGGGAAUAUUGCACAAUGGGGGAAACCCUGAUGCAGCAACGCCGCGUGAGUGAGGAAGUAUUUCGGUAUGUAAAGCUCUAUCAGCAGGGAAUAGAAAAGAAGGUACCUGAAAAAGAAGCCCCGGCUAACUACGUGCCAGCAGCCGCGGUAAUACGUAGGGGGCGAGCGUUAUCCGGAUUCACUGGGUGUAAAGGGAGCGUAGACGGCCAAGCAAGCCAGGGGUGAAAGCCCGGGGCCCAACCCCGGGACUGCCCUUGGAACUGCUUGGCUGGAGUGCGGGAGGGGCAGGCGGAAUUCCUGGUGUAGCGGUGAAAUGCGUAGAUAUCAGGAGGAACACCGGCGGCGAAGGCGGCCUGCUGGACCGCUACUGACGUUGAGGCUCGAAAGCGUGGGGAGCGAACAGGAUUAGAUACCCCCGUAAA
rnacentral:rRNA from 1 species